rnacentral:rRNA from 1 species
GUUGUUCGGAAUUACUGGGCGUAAAGGGCGCGUAGGCGGGCCAUCAAGUCCGGGGUGAAAUCCUCCGGCUUAACCGGAGAAUUGCCUUGGAUACUGGUGGUCUUGAGGGAAGUAGGGGUCUGCGGAACUUCCGGUGGAGCGGUGAAAUGUGUUGAUAUCGGAAGGAACGCCGGUGGCGAAAGCGGCGGACUGGGCUUCUUCUGACGCUGAGGCGCGAAAGCUAGGGGAGCAAACGGG